ensembl:piRNA 21ur-3047 ncRNA
UAGCACUUCAAAAAUUAGGAG